UGGACUUCCUUCUCGUUCCCAGCAAAAUGCACAGUUUGCUGGCAAGACUAGGCAGUCCAGA
rnacentral:pre_miRNA from 1 species